rnacentral:rRNA from 1 species
AGAGUUUGAUCCUGGCUCAGAACGAACGCUGGCGGCAGGCUUAACACAUGCAAGUCGAACGCACCUUCGGGUGAGUGGCAGACGGGUGAGUAACGCGUGGGAACGUGCCCUUCAGUUCGGAAUAACCCAGGGAAACUUGGGCUAAUACCGGAUACGUGCGAGAGCAGAAAGAUUUAUCGCUGAAGGAUCGGCCCGCGUCUGAUUAGCUAGUUGGUGGGGUAAUGGCCCACCAAGGCGACGAUCAGUAGCUGGUCUGAGAGGAUGAUCAGCCACAUUGGGACUGAGACACGGCCCAAACUCCUACGGGAGGCAGCAGUGGGGAAUAUUGGACAAUGGGCGCAAGCCUGAUCCAGCCAUGCCGCGUGAGUGAUGAAGGCCUUAGAGUUGUAAAGCUCUUUCGGCGGGGACGAUAAUGACGGUACCCGCAGAAGAAGCCCCGGCUAACUUCGUGCCAGCAGCCGCGGUAAUACGAAGGGGGCUAGCGUUGUUCGGAAUCACUGGGCGUAAAGGGCGCGUAGGCGGCUUUGUAAGUCGGGGGUGAAAGCCUGUGGCUCACCACAGAAUUGCCUUCGAUACUGCAUGGCUUGAGACCGGAAGAGGUUAGUGGAACUGCGAGUGUAGAGGUGAAAUUCGUAGAUAUUCGCAAGAACACCAGUGGCGAAGGCGGCUGACUGGUCCGGUUCUNNNNCUGAGGCGCGAAAGCGUGGGGAGCAAACAGGAUUAGAUACCCUAGUAGUCC